GACGAACGCUGGCGGCGUGCCUAAUACAUGAAAGUAGGACGCAGUUGCGAACGGGUGAGAAACGCGUAGGUAACUACCUAUUAGAGGGGGAUAACUAUGGGAAAAGAUAGCUAAUACCGCAUACUAGUAGAUGGACCUGCGUUGUAUUAGGUAUUAGGUAGGGUAAUGGCCUACCUAGGCAACGAUACAUAGCCGACCCUAGAGGGUGAUCGGCCACACUUGAACUUAGCCACGGCCCAGACUCCGACGGGAGGCAGCCGUAGGGAAUCUUCGGCGAUGGGGUGCACCCUGACCGAGCAACGCCGCGUGAGUGAAGAAGGUUUUCGGAUCUUAAAGCUCUGUUGUUAAGGAAGCGGUACUUAACCAGAAAUGGACGGCUAACUACGUGCCAGCAGCCGCGGUAAUUC
rnacentral:rRNA from 1 species